rnacentral:tRNA from 1 species
GCGCCCGUAGCUCAGCUGGAUAGAGCACCAGACUACGAAUCUGGGGGUCAGCGGUUCGAAUCCGUUCGGGCGCGCCA